AGCGAACGCUGGCGGCAGGCCUAACACAUGCAAGUCGAACGAAGUCUUCGGACUUAGUGGCGGACGGGUGAGUAACACGUGGGAACGUGCCUUUAGGUUCGGAAUAACUCAGGGAAACUUGUGCUAAUACCGAAUGUGCCCUUCGGAGGAAAGAUUUAUCGCCUUUAGAGCGGCCCGCGUCUGAUUAGCUAGUUGGUGAGGUAAAGGCUCACCAAGGCUACGAUCAGUAGCUGGUCUGAGAGGAUGAUCAGCCACAUUGGGACUGAGACACGGCCCAAACUCCUACGGGAGGCAGCAGUGGGGAAUCUUGCGCAAUGGGCGAAAGCCUGACGCAGCCAUGCCGCGUGAAUGAUGAAGGUCUUAGGAUUGUAAAAUUCUUUCACCGGGGACGAUAAUGACGGUACCCGGAGAAGAAGCCCCGGCUAACUUCGUGCCAGCAGCCGCCGUAAUAC
rnacentral:rRNA from 1 species